GAUGAACGCUGACAGCAUGCUUAACACAUGCAAGUCAACUUGAACUUCGGUUCGGGUGGCGGACGCGUGAGUAACGCGUGAAUAACUUGCCUCACAGAUAGGGGCACCAUUUGGAAACGUAUGCUAAUACAUGAUAUUCUGAUUAUAUAGCAUCGUAUCAUUAUCAAGGUUAUAUGCGCUGUGAUUGAGCUUUGCGUCCCAUUAGCUAGUUGGAGAGGUAACGGCUAACCAAGGCGAUGAGGGGUAGCCGGCCGGAGAGGUUGAUCGGCAAAUAGGGGACUGGGACACGGCCCGUCCUCCUACGGGAGGAAGAGUUGGGGAAUAUGGGACAAUGGACGAAGAGUCAUAUACAGCAAUUCUGUGUGCACGAUGAGGUUUCGCGGAAUGUAAAGUGCUUGCAGUUGAGAAGAAAAAAAUGACGGUACCAAGAGAAGAAGUGACGGCUAAAUACGUG
rnacentral:rRNA from 1 species